GCGGGCACAGCGACGGUAAUUUGAACUGGUCUAUUUAUGAUCUGCAGCAGCAAGAGGUACGCACACAGUUAAUCGAAACCCUGUCUGCAGCACCGUUUUAAGAAUGAAGACUCUUGUAGUCAUCCUGCUCCUAGCGUUGGCGAUUGAGCUCUUUAACCCUGUGGGCGCGGCGAAGAAGGGCAAGGGCAAGCCCAACAUCAGGGCUUGUCAAAAUGUUCCCUGUGCGACCAUGGCUAACUGUCAACGCAGCUGUUCCGGCUGCUACAAGCAACCUGGUGGACCUAGCGGCAUCAAGUACUGCCAGGCAGGAUAAGCACAGUGGUGAAGUCAGCAUUGAUCACGGCUCCCACUUGGAGUCAGCUGCCCAAAUAAAAUAUGUUUUGAAAAAUCA